CAUGGUGUAUUCAUAAUGCAUUCGAGCACUGCAUUAUGCAUACAUUCAACAGAACAAAUUUUUAUUUUUAUUUUUUAUGUAUAAAACAAUUUUAAAUUGUACAAAUUAUUGAAAUUCAUUUUAAUGUAAUUUUUUAUAUUUAAAUUAAUUUAAUUAAGUUUAAAAUUAUGAGAAUUUUAAGUUCUCUUUAUUUUAAAUAAAAUGGUUUUCAAUGGGUUAAUUAAUUACAGUAUGAUUUAAAAUUCAACAAAAACUACUUAUGUUUCUUAAAGAGGAGCUUUAAUUAAUUAUCCAAGAAAAAUAAAAACCAUAUAGCAAAAACAUCAUAAGUAUGAGGAUGGUGUAAUUCAAAACCUGAUACUGAAACUCUUUAUAAUGGUA